rnacentral:rRNA from 1 species
GCAAGCCGAGCGGUAGGGUUUCUUCGGAAACCUGAGAGCGGCGCACGGGUGCGGAACACGUGUGCAACCUACCUUUAUCAGGGGGAUAGCCUUUCGAAAGGAAGAUUAAUACCCCAUAAUAUAUUAGAUGGCAUCAUUUGAUAUUGAAAACUCCGGUGGAUAGAGAUGGGCACGCGCAAGAUUAGAUAGUUGGUGAGGUAACGGCUCACCAAGUCAGUGAUCUUUAGGGGGCCUGAGAGGGUGAUCCCCCACACUGGUACUGAGACACGGACCAGACUCCUACGGGAGGCAGCAGUGAGGAAUAUUGGACAAUGGGUGAGAGCCUGAUCCAGCCAUCCCGCGUGAAGGAUGACGGCCCUAUGGGUUGUAAACUUCUUUUGUAUAGGGAUAAACCUUUCCACGUGUGGAAAGCUGAAGGUACUAUACGAAUAAGCACCGGCUAACUCCGUGCCAGCAGCCGCGGUAAUACGGAGGAUCCAAGCGUUAUCCGGAUUUAUUGGGUUUAAAGGGUGCGUAGGCGGCCUGUUAAGUCAGAGGUGAAAGACGGUAGCUCAACUAUCGCAGUGCCWUUGAUACUGMWGGKCUUGARURRRSUAGARGURGSYGGAAURAGWMRWGUAGCGGUGAAAUGCAUAGAUAUKWCUYAGAACACCRAUUGCGAAGGCAGSUYACUAUGKYUUWAYUGACGCUGAKGSACGAAAGCGUGGGGAGCGAACAGGAUUAGAUACCCUGGCAGUCCACGCCGUAAACGAUGCUAACUCGUUUUUGGGUUUUUAAGAUUCAGAGACUAAGCGAAAGUGAUAAGUUAGCCACCUGGGGA